rnacentral:rRNA from 1 species
GUCCACGCUGUAAACGUUGGGCGCUAGGUGUGGGGACCCUCUCCGGGUUUCUGCGCCGCAGCUAACGCAUUAAGCGCCCCGCCUGGGGAGUACGGCCGCAAGGCUAAAACUCAAAGGAAUUGACGGGGGCCCGGCACAAGCGGCGGAGCAUGCGGAUUAAUUCGAUGCAACGCGAAGAACCUUACCUGGGUUUGACAUCGCCGGAAAAUUCGCAGAGAUGCGGGGUCCUUCGGGCCGGUGACAGGUGGUGCAUGGCUGUCGU